GAUUUUUAUUAACAUGUAGAUCCGAGUGAAGGUGAAGGGUCGUCGUCGUGUAGGGAGCUGGCGAGAGCGAUUCUGAAGUUAGGAGAUGGUGGAACCUGCGAAGGAGCAUGAGUUGCAACGUGUAUGAAUAUGUUGAUGGAUAUGCAAAUGGAGCUUGAAAGAUCCAAGCUUGCCAAACGUAGAGCUGCUGCUGCUUCAGGUAAGAAGUUGUAGGGAUUAGAUUGUGGAGAAGCUAUACUGUAGUAAAAAAGGAGCAUUGGUUGGAUCUGAGAGCUCAUUCGGAAUUGGAGAAACUGUUAUUAUUCUUACUCACUAGGUUUCAUGCUAGAGCAAUGUGUUUUUCUUCUGUUUCAUUCUCUUCUUUAGGGUACGUUGGUAGCAAAGCAGAUUGGUGAAAGAAACGCUUGUAGUAAUCUGACAGACAUAUCACCA